GAAGAGGUUUCCCGAGUGGCGGUUGAACGCAUGCAAAUAAAAGAAGAUCAUAGGACCGCCAUGCUACUCGCUCAAAUGCAUCAAGGUGGGGGAGGGGCGGUGGUAGUUCUCAACAACAAGAUGACGAGUACGACUUGUCUAUAUGUCGGACUCGGAUAACAAUGAUGAUAGAUCUCAUUCUCGUAUUCCGUCUAGCACCGGCGGAAAUGAGGACAUGCCUCCCCUCCAGUCCAGAGCCUUUGUCCUAGCGGCAAGGAGCUUAGUCAUUAUUGCAUGAGGUCCCGGUGGUAAUUCCAAGUCCUAAUGAUCCGUUCUCUCAACAAGAGACAUCGGUGUUUCAUGCAUAUUGUAACAAUUGUGAUAAAGUCUACAAAUUUGGGAGUGGUGGGGAAUAUGGCACCCUCCGUCGUCAUUUGGUGACAAA